CCUACGGGAGGCAGCAGUGGGGAAUUUUGGACAAUGGGCGCAAGCCUGAUCCAGCCAUGCCGCGUGAGUGAAGAAGGCCUUCGGGUUGUAAAGCUCUUUCGGUAGGAACGAAAUGGUUCGUGCUAAUACCACGGACUGAUGACGGUACCUGAAGAAGAAGCACCGGCUAACUACGUGCCAGCAGCCGCGGUAAUACGUAGGGUGCAGGCGUUAAUCGGAAUUACUGGGCGUAAAGCGUGCGCAGGCGGUUUCUUAAGUCAGAUGUGAAAGCCCCGGGCUUAACCUGGGAACUGCGUUUGAAACUGGGAGACUAGAGUGUGGUAGAGGGGGGUGGAAUUCCACGUGUAGCAGUGAAAUGCGUAGAUAUGUGGAGGAACACCGAUGGCGAAGGCAGCCCCCUGGGUUAACACUGACGCUCAUGCACGAAAGCGUGGGGAGCAAACAGGAUUAGAUACCCUGGUAGUCCACGCCCUAAACCUAUGUCAACUGGUUGUCGGGGGAUUAGCUCCCUUGGUAACGAAGCUAACGCGUGAAGUUGACCGCCUGGGGGAGGACGGCCGCGAAGGUAAACGUACGAAGGUAAGUAGAGCGUGAGAGUGCGAGGCGCGACGAGGGAGGAGG
rnacentral:rRNA from 1 species